UACGAACCGUCCAAACGUUAUUCGGAUUUAUUGGGCUUAAAGGGUAUGUAGGCGGCGCCAUCAGUCGGGUGUGAAAGCCCUCGGCUCAACCGAGGAACUGCGCCCGAUACUGUGGUGCUUGAGGGAGACAGAGGUAAGCGGAACUGAUGGUGGAGCGGUGAAAUGCGUUGAUAUCAUCAGGAACACCGGUGGCGAAGGCGGCUUUCUGGGUCUUACCUGACGCUGAGGAACGAAAGCUAGGGGAGCGAACGGG
rnacentral:rRNA from 1 species